UACGUAGGGUGCGAGCGUUGCCCGGAUUUAUUGGGCGUAAAGGGCGCGUAGGCGGCCACGCACGUCCGUUGUGAAAUCGCCCGGCUCAACUGGGCGGGUCAGCGGAUACGGUGUGGCUCGAGCAAGCUAGGGGCAAUGGAAUUCCCGGUGUAGUGGUGGAAUGCGUAGAUAUCGGGAGGAACACCAGUGGCGAAGGCGGUUGCCUGGAGCUUGCUGACGCUGAGACACGAAAGCCAGGGAGCGAACGGG
rnacentral:rRNA from 1 species